rnacentral:tRNA from 1 species
GGGCGAUUAGCUCAGGGGGAGAGCGCUGCUCUCACACAGCAGAGGCCGCUGGUUCGAAACCAGCAUCGCCCACCA